CUGCGGCAGCGAACGUAUCACCCAAGACAACUUUACGGAGUUGACGAUUGACGGAGCGAAGCGACGUCAAAGCGUUCAUUAAAGUCGAGUUGGCUUAGGGAUACGUUCGUUGGGUAGGGGAGCGUUCUGUAAGCCUGUGAAGGUGUGUCGUGAGGCAUGCUGGAGGUAUCAGAAGUGCGAAUGCUGACAUAAGUAACGAUAAAGCGGGUGAAAAGCCCGCUCGCCGGAAGACCAAGGGUUCCUGUCCAACGUUAAUCGGGGCAGGGUGAGUCGACCCCUAAGGCGAGGCCGAAAGGCGUAGUCGAUGGGAAACGGGUUAAUAUUCCCGUACUUGGUGUUACUGCGAAGGGGGGACGGAGAAGGCUAUGUUGGCCGGGCGACGGUUGUCCCGGUUUAAGCGUGUAGGUGUGUGUUCCAGGUAAAUCCGGUUCACUUUAACACUGAGGCGUGACGACGAGGCACUACGGUGCUGAAGCAACAAAUGCCCUGCUUCCAGGAAAAGCCUCUAAGCAUCAGGUAACACGAAAUCGUACCCCAAACCGACACAGGUGGUCAGGUAGAGAAUACCAAGGCGCUUGAGAGAACUCGGGUGAAGGAACUAGGCAAAAUGGUGCCGUAACUUCGGGAGAAGGCACGCUGACACGUAGGUGAAGUGAUUUACUCAUGGAGCUGAAGUCAGUCGAAGAUACCAGCUGGCUGCAACUGUUUAUUAAAAACACAGCACUGUGCAAACACGAAAGUGGACGUAUACGGUGUGACGCCUGCCCGGUGCCGGAAGGUUAAUUGAUGGGGUCAGCGCAAGCGAAGCUCCUGAUCGAAGCCCCGGUAAACGGCGGCCGUAACUAUAACGGUCCUAAGGUAGCGAAAUUCCUUGUCGGGUAAGUUCCGACCUGCACGAAUGGCGUAAUGAUGGCCAGGCUGUCUCCACCCGAGACUCAGUGAAAUUGAACUCGCUGUGAAGAUGCAGUGUACCCGCGGCAAGACGGAAAGACCCCGUGAACCUUUACUAUAGCUUGACACUGAACAUUGAGCCUUGAUGUGUAGGAUAGGUGGGAGGCUUUGAAGUGUGGACGCCAGUCUGCAUGGAGCCGACCUUGAAAUACCACCCUUUAAUGUUUGAUGUUCUAACGUGGACCCGUAAUCCGGGUUGCGGACAGUGUCUGGUGGGUAGUUUGACUGGGGCGGUCUCCUCCUAAAGAGUAACGGAGGAGCACGAAGGUUGGCUAAUCCUGGUCGGACAUCAGGAGGUUAGUGCAAUGGCAUAAGCCAGCUUGACUGCGAGCGUGACGGCGCGAGCAGGUGCGAAAGCAGGUCAUAGUGAUCCGGUGGUUCUGAAUGGAAGGGCCAUCGCUCAACGGAUAAAAGGUACUCCGGGGAUAACAGGCUGAUACCGCCCAAGAGUUCAUAUCGACGGCGGUGUUUGGCACCUCGAUGUCGGCUCAUCACAUCCUGGGGCUGAAGUAGGUCCCAAGGGUAUGGCUGUUCGCCAUUUAAAGUGGUACGCGAGCUGGGUUUAGAACGUCGUGAGACAGUUCGGUCCCUAUCUGCCGUGGGCGCUGGAGAACUGAGGGGGGCUGCUCCUAGUACGAGAGGACCGGAGUGGACGCAUCACUGGUGUUCGGGUUGUCAUGCCAAUGGCACUGCCCGGUAGCUAAAUGCGGAAGAGAUAAGUGCUGAAAGCAUCUAAGCACGAAACUUGCCCCGAGAUGA
rnacentral:rRNA from 1 species